rnacentral:lncRNA from 1 species
AAAACACCUGGAGCUGGCUGAUAUAUGAAGAUAAGAGGUUCAUUUAGCUCACAGUUUUGGAGUCCGAGAGUCCAAAUAGUUGUUGCUGACUUUGGGAGCCCCCCAUCCCAUCAUGGCAGAUGGCAUCCCAAUGGUGGGAGCACAUGGGAGAGGAGGAGCUCAUGUGCCCAGAUAGGAAGUCAGAGAGGAGGAGAGGCCAGGCUCACUCUUUCACAACAAGCUCUUGCAAGAACCAACCAGCGGCCCCUGAAACUGCAUCAGUUCCUUCCUGAGCAGCACCCUCCACGCCGCCCUGAGCUCACCGCCCCCACCAGCCCCGUCUCUUAAAUAAGUCUCCACACCAUCUCCCGGCCCACGAAGCCGAAGCCCCGAGGGACGCAGUCAGACACACCACCCACACGGGGAGGGCCAGCUGUGGCUCAGUUCACCAGUGCAAAUGCCGAGCCCUUUUGGAAGCCCCUUCACAAACAUCCCGAGAGAGCUACUGGGCGCCCCUUGGCCUGCUCAAGUCGACACCCCAAAUUAGCCACCCCUCAAAGCUCUGGUAAGUUCCCCUUUUGUGUAAAAGGUGCAACUCAUGUUGCACUCAGUCUUGCAUCUGAGUCUGCCGCCAUCUUCCCCUAGGUUAGCCUCCACCACCUCUCGUGCUCCUGCCCCGGAUCGCUGUCCUCCUCUCUCCCCACGCUGCCAGCCUCCCCUGCCUCCCCUGCAGGUUCUAGGCCUAGCCCGGUGCCCCUGGGCCUAGAAGUCCUGCCUGUGUCCUGUGAGAGCUGACCCGGCUGCCUGGCUUGGGCCUCGAGGGAGAGACGCUGUGGGUGGCCCUGCGCUGCCCUCACCCAAGUGUGGUGGCAGCUGCCCUCCCAGGGUCCCUGCGCCUGCCUCUGCGCAGCCAAGCGUGUUUAGGCCUCCCGCUUUGCAAAGCGUGUUCUCUGAAUCAGAGCCUUAUUUACAUGUAUGCUUCCUUAUCACACCAGCACAGACCUUUUAAGAGAAGGGGCUGAUUGUUUUUUCUUUUUCCACUUUUUAAUUGGGCCAUAAUUUUUUUUCAAUUUUUUUUUUAGUUAUAGUUGGACACAAUACCUUUAUUUUAUUUAUUUAUUUUUAUGUGGUGCUGAGGAUGGAACCCAGUGCCUCAUACUUGCUAGGAGAGUGCUCUACCACUGAGCCCCAGCCCCAGCCCCAAUUGGCCAUAAUUUACAUGGAGUGGGCUCACUUACCUGAGUGUACAGCUCAAUAAAUCUUUAGAUAUGAGCACCUGGGUCUAGGUUUACCUGUGGACCGUGACCAAGGCCAGGUGUGGAACAUAUCCAAAAGGACAGGGGGAUUCUCUGCUUGCUGGUGUCACUGGGUUUGGGAAAGCCAAAAAUUGACACAACCCAUUUGUUAUUUCUAUAUAACAAACCACUUCAGUCUUUUUUGUUAUUGUUGUUCAUUUUGUUUUGUUUGUGCAACAGAUAUGGAACCCAGGGGAGCUUAACUACUGAGCCACAUCCCCAGCCCUUUUUUGUAUUUUACUUAGAGACAGGCUCUCACGGAGUUGCUUAGGGCCUUGCUAAAUUGCUGAGGCUGGCUUUAAUCUUGUGAUCCUCCUGCCUCAGCCUCCUGAGCCACUGGGAUUACAGGUGAGCAACCCUGCACCUGGCCCUCUUCAACCUUUACUGGCUUGAAGUGUUAUGGUGUGCAUGAUCAAUAUAAUCAAAAAGUCAUAGACAUAGGUUAUAGGUAUAAGGCAAGAUAGAAUAGAUAAUCAAUAAGCAAUAGACCUAGAUUAAAGACUAUAGGAAUAAGGUAAGAUGACAUAGGAUUUAAGCCAUAGGAUAAGCCAGUGUGUCAGUAUAGUUAUAAAUAAACAUAAGCAAGUAGGUUAAUAUAGAUAUAGAUAAGGUUAGACUAACAACUUGAUCUUGUAGCUUUGCAUAGGAUAAGGACAUAGGGUUUACAGGUAUUAGUAAAAUGACAGAUGAACGUGUGUGAAGACCAUAAGAUAACUGUAGUUUUAAGCAGGCAUCAAAUAAGUUACUAGUACUGAGUGUGCAAAGCAGUUGCUCUGGUGGAGACUCAUUAGUCACUUGCGAGAACUCCCACCUUGCUGGGAUUACAGGAAUAGGGCCACUGUAGUCAUUUGAGUAAAAAGAUGUGACUAUAAAAACUCCAUCUUAGUUUCUUUUUUACUGUCCCUGUGAAGGGAGAACUGCAUGCCCCAUUUCUAGGAAAUAGAAACUAAAGCCGUUUUCUUAUAGAAGAUUUCUUUUCUGUACUUUGUACCCCACAAAUUGAACCCUACUCAGGAUGCAGCAGUGGUCGCGGUGAGCUACGACCUGGGUGUGAAUGCCCUCGUGGGGCUAAGAAGAUUCUCGCCCCUCCGACCCCUUCCCAAAUUCAGGAUGCGACUGUCUAGCACCUGCUCGAGCCCGGGACUGUGGUCCAUUGAACUGCAAAGCUAAUGCGUUUUUAGCUUCUGUUUACCGCUUGCUUGCUGCCUGGAAAAGUCCAGUCCUGCCCAGAGCCCACAGGUCCCACUUAUCAGUGUUUUAAUUUCUGGGAUUGGCUAGCUUCUGUGACGAUAAGCAGGUCACUGAGUUGUGGUUUUUGUGCUUAGAUUCCCCUUAGAUGGACCAGGAAGCUGCUGCCUUCCCACAGAGCUUGGUCUCUGCGGUGAGUGUCCGCCCCUGGCCAGGUAAAUAAAGCCCUCUUUUGAUUUGGAAUCCGGACUUGAGUGCUUUCUGGAGUGGCUCCCCAUAACACUAGUUCUGUGGCUUGGCUGAGCGUCUCUUCUGGGCCAGGCAGGGGCCUCAGCUGGAGGCCUGGGAGCUCUGCCCCUGGUCCUCACUGGCCUGGAGGCCAGCCGGAGCCUGACCAUGUGCUGGCCUCAGGCCUCCAGAGCUUUCCGCUUUGGUACCAUCCCAUGGCCGAAGCCAGCACACAAAGCCAGCCAGCCUCAGGAGGGGGACAAAUACCUUCUCUCCUGGUGGAAAAGCAACGAAAUCAGAAGUCUGUGGUCCUUUCCAUGGGCCGUGGGUGUUCUUCAGGAAGAAGGCCAGUGACCACAGGUAGGGGAUGGCGGGAGGGAGUCAGUGGGGUGCAGCUCAGUGGUGGCUUGGGCCCUGGGCUCCCCCCAGCACCGCAGACACAAACGAGGAGUUGGUGGGGACAGUUCUGGGGGUAACUCUAAAACUGGGAUGGAGACAGGGAGUGAAGAAUCAGAAUGACGCUCUCCACCCUGCAAAAGCUCGCAGUGAAGAGAACAGAACCGGCGGGCCAGACAAAGACAGACGGCAGACAGGAACCGCAUCAGCCACUGAAGUAUCAACAGACGGCCACGCGAAUAUGCUCCACUAACUUUUCCCCAUUUUUAUUCAUUUUUAAUUGUUGAUGGAUCUUUAAUAUAUUUAUAUGCAGUGCUGA